rnacentral:tRNA from 1 species
GGUAGCUCAGUGGUAGAGUGCUUGCCUUGCAUGCAUGGGACCCUGGGUUUGAUUCCUCAGUACCA